CUUCAGUCGAGUUGUGGCAGAUCGUAGGACAUUACAAAGAUUUAAUAUACUCAAAAGCAAAUUAUUUAUGACUUCUGUGUACAUAAGUCUGACACCACUUAUUAUGCUUCUCUUUGAGAACAAGAUUAGAGCUCGCAUGAACUUCACAAGCAGAGCAAACCUGAGCAUCAUCUUCUCCAGCAUGAUUUAAAAUAGUUUCAAAGAACAUCUGAUGUACAAGAAGAAAGCUAGAAAUUUUACAUAAUACUUGAAAUAUUUUCUAAAUUAACAAUUUUAGACAUUUUUCAAAGUUGUAAAUAAAACAAAGAUUACUAUUGUUUUACAAGAAAAUACUGUUUCGGUCUUUAACAUUCAAUUAAAUGUGUUACAUGCCGUUUCUUUGUGAUUUGUGAAAUUUACAAGCAAUUUCUGAGUGAACAUUGCUCCAAAGUAAAUCCUACCCCAAAUUUCUGGGAAUGACACAUGUACAAAACAAAAAAUAAAAAAGGUUAUGCAGUAUAUACAUUAUGUACUACACAGUAUGCAGUGCAAUACGUUGCAUUCUAUUGUACUAUUAUUGACUGUGCCUCCAACGAAAAAGAUCAAGUUCUGUUGUAAGGUAAUACAUCAGAAGCAGCUUUACAGUACAUUUAUUUCUGGGAUAUUUUUAGAAAAUGCUCAGACAUUCUCAAUGUCGCUCACCAGUGCAGUGAGAUUCCGUUAUCGAUCAAACUAAGAGUGCACAAGAAAGUUGAGAUGGACACUGUUCACUAGCAAUUAUACAGUAUAGCGGUUUAAAAGGAAGGGCCUAUAUCGAAGGAAGGAAGAAGAAAUGAGUAGCAUGCCGAAUCCACAUCCUGUUAUUCUGAGUAUAAAUAUCACUUACAAAGGGCCUUUGAUCACUUUCCUACCUUUCAUAAGAGUCCUGUCGUGUUUCUACUGCUUGAAUCAAAUAAGUGUUUUUUUCUGCAUUAUGUUCCUAGAAUUUCCACAUAUAUGAAAUUACAGAGUGGUUUAAAAUCUGGUAUAUAUCCUAAACAUUAUGUGUCAUGCAAGGAAAAGCAUUAUUUAUUGGUUACAUUUUUAAGGUGACACAAAUUAGACAUGACUGAAAAUACAAAUACUUUUUAAUUUGACAUGGUCAAAGAGGAAAAAGAGUUCAUAUUUUAAAAGAUAUAUUGGUUAUAUUGGAGAAUCACCAUCAAUAAGACUGAUCAUAAGGUAUUAAAAGUACCAUCUGAGUAACCAUUGCAGCUGACUGAGAAACACAAACUGACUCACCAGCCCACUUCUGGAAUCUCAUGUAUUUGUGAGCAAAAGAAAUGAUGUAUAGUAUUGGUUUUCUGUCAUUUUUGGAUGGUGAAAAGGGGUCUAGAAGUGACUGGAGGGAGGGAUUGAAAAAAAAACUUGCUAAGGGCAACCAAAAAUGAAAGUUGUAGGAAAGAUUGUGAUGAAUCAUACUUAAUAAAACAGUUGUGUAUUAAGAGAAUGAAUAAGGUUGAUUUUUAUUUAAUGGUAACUAGCUUAUACCAUAGCUUUUGCGCACUUUUUGCGCAGUAAUAAGGUCUAUAGCUACAGGUCAAUGUACACAUACACUCUUACAAAUAAAGGUGCAGUUCCCAAAGUUCCCCACAUGUAGUUCCCCGAAGAACCUUUCAGUUAAUGGUUAGAAGAACCAUUGUUUUUCCUAGGCUACUGGGAAGAACCCUUUUCCACUAUAAAGAACAUUUUGUGCAUUGAAGGGUUCCAACGGAACUCUGUAUGGAACCAUAGAUGCCAGUAAAGAAGCAUGAUUUCUAAGAGUGGACUGCGAGUAAACGCCUUGUAGAUGAGGGAAUACCUACUGGUUUGCGUGUUGGCGUGAGCUGCACGGAGUGAUAGAACUCGGGCUGGACUCUCUUCUUCACUCUGCGCUUCCUCACGGCCGCGCUCGAGUCCGGCUCGCUCUCGAUGAGCGCCUUCUCUUCAGAAACGCGCGCGCGUGCGCUUCUCCUCGCAUGACGUGGACUGUGACGACAUACCUGUCAGACAAUGACCAUAACAUCAUCGCAAAGCAAGAACUGUUAGGCGCUGCAAUUGCAGUCUUUUGUUGUUUAUUAAUUUUCACAUAUUUACUUCUUGUAAGCAUGUAAUAUUUAUAUAAAAGUAGUCUUUUCUGGAUU
ensembl:lncRNA